AGCUCAGACGUGUUUGCUUACCAAUUGCCUGUGUUGUGCUCUUGCCACAGGCUACCAUUCCUGUGCUGAUACAGAGAUCUGUGUCCUGCAGUCCUACCAGUCCAGCAGCCCAAACUUUAAGAUGGUGUGAUGUCAUUAGCCUGAUAAGGAACAUUAAAAUUGCUAUGGCUUCUAAGGAAAAUGUGCUCAGACUUCAUAAAAGCAUGUUGAAGAUAGCACAAGACACCUGACGCGUGGUGCUAAGCCCGUUAGCCCUCAGGGCUUUGCUGGGGCCAAACCUUUAUUGUUUGCUCAUCUGACUCACUCCGGGACCCACAGCAGGAGGAAGACAGCAAGGGUUAAACCAUCCUCACAGGAUUUAUGCCCUACCAGGACACCUCCUCUUAAUUUGCUAUACAGAUCUCGUACUCACUGCUCUGAAAACUGACUUAGAUUUUGAAGAGUGAUAAUAACCUCCAGGCAUAUACUGAGAAGUGUUACUUUUGGUAUGUACUGGGAGCAGAGCAGCUGGAAAGAGCAGGGGAGAGGAAGGCAUGGGGGUCUUGGCGGACCAAGCUGAACGUGAACCAGAACUGUAUGCUUGUGGCAAAGAAGGCUCAUGGUAUCCUGCAUUAGGAAGAGUGUUUUCAGGAGGUGGAGGGAGGUGACCGAUCCUUCCGUUCUACUCAGCAGUGUGAGACCACACCAUGGCCUGCUGUGUCAGUUCUGGGAUCCUCAAUGCAUGGGAGUCAGGAGCUACUGAAGAGAGUGCAAUGAAGAUGGUAAGGAGACUUAAAGUAGCUCUCCUAUGAGAAGAGAUGACUCAGGGGAUCUAACAAAUCUGUGAAAAUACUUGAAAGCAGGCUGUAAAGAAAAUGCAUCCAGGCCAUUUGUAUCCAGAAAUAUGAAGACCAAAGCCAUGCAAAAGAGGAAAAGUGCUCAAGAAUCUCCAGGUCCUGCUUAUCACUGUAACUGGUCCUGCUCUGGAGAUUAGUACUUGGCAAUCAUCAGUGUCCUUAGCAGUUAGGGCACAUACAUCAUGGAGACAGAAAGAGAGCAAACAAAUGUUAAAAUACAUGUUCCUGUAGCUGUGCACCACAUUUAUCUCUGCAAAGAAGCAAACAAACCCCAGGACCUCACCAAGAUGAUUUAUAACAGUAAGAAUGUUGAGACUGGGGAUCAGAAGAAAUGUUCCUAAUAAAGCAGGCUUUAUAAUUCUCUGAUUCACUUGCACAUAAGGGAGAAAGUAUGGCAGAGGGUUGUGGGGAGGCUGUGUUUUAUUACCUUAAAUAAAUAUUCUUUCCCCCUCAGAGAUUUUUGUGGGCAGAAGUCUUGUUGCUGAUAAUAUGCAAUAGUUC